CCUACGGGGGGCAGCAGUGGGGAAUAUUGCACAAUGGGGGAAACCCUGAUGCAGCAACGCCGCGUGGGUGAAGAAGUAUUUCGGUAUGUAAAGCCCUAUCAGCAGGGAAGAGACUGACGGUACCUGACUAAGAAGCCCCGGCUAACUACGUGCCAGCAGCCGCGGUAAUACGGAGGGGGCAAGCGUUAUCCGGAUUUACUGGGUGUAAAGGGAGCGUAGACGGUUGUGCAAGUCUGAAGUGAAAGCCCGGGGCCCAACCCCGGGACUGCUCUUGGAACUGCGUGGCUAGAGUGCAGGAGGGGCAGGCGGAAUUCGUGGUGUAGCGGUGAAAUGCGUAGAUAUCAGGAGGAACACCGGUGGCGAAGGCGGCCUGCUGGACCAGAACUGACGUUGAGGCUCGAAAGCGUGGGGAGCAAACAGGAUUAGAUACCCUUGUAGUC
rnacentral:rRNA from 1 species